CAGUCGCCGCGGGAAUACGUAGGUCCCGAGUGUUGUCCGGAUUUAUUGGGCGUAAAGCGAGCGCAGGCGGUUAGAUAAGUCUGAAGUUAAAGGCUGUGGCUUAACCAUAGUACGCUUUGGAAACUGUUUAACUUGAGUGCAAGAGGGGAGAGUGGAAUUCCAUGUGUAGCGGUGAAAUGCGUAGAUAUAUGGAGGAACACCGAUGGCGAAAGCGGCUCUCUGGCUUGUAACUGACGCUGAGGCUCGAAAGCGUGGGGAGCAAACAGGAUUAGAUACCCGCGUAGUCCCUGUCUCUUAUACA
rnacentral:rRNA from 1 species